rnacentral:rRNA from 1 species
AUUGAACGCUGGCGGCAGGCCUAACACAUGCAAGUCGAGCGGCAGAAGGGAGCUUGCUCCUGGAUUCAGCGGCGGACGGGUGAGUAAUGCCUAUGAAUCUGCCUGGUAGUGGGGGAUAACGUUCGGAAACGGGCGCUAAUACCGCAUCCGUCCUGAGGGAGAGAGUGGGGGAUCUUCGGACCUCACGCUAUCAGAUGAGCCUAGGUCGGAUUAGCUAGUUGGUGGGGUAAAGGCCUACCAAGGCGACGAUCCGUAACUGGUCUGAGAGGAUGAUCAGUCACACUGGAACUGAGACACGGUCCAGACUCCUACGGGAGGCAGCAGUGGGGAAUAUUGGACAAUGGGCGAAAGCCUGAUCCAGCCAUGCCGCGUGUGUGAAGAAGGUCUUCGGAUUGUAAAGCACUUUAAGUUGGGAGGAAGGGCAGUAAGUUAAUACCUUGCUGUUUUGACGUUACCAACAGAAUAAGCACCGGCUAACUUCGUG